AGUGACCAGUUUUUGCUUUCAAUGAACUGUUUUCUGCUACUCGACAAAUGCAACCGUAGACCAUCUAUAUGAGUUGCAAUUGUGGUAAAAGUUUAUGCAAUCCAUAUAAAAAUGACCAAAUACUUGUGUGGUUCUAUAUUUAUUUAUUAACAAAUUCAUUUUAAAAAAUGGAUUAGAUUCUCUGAGCAACCCAUUUUGUUUGCAUAAUCAGGCCAAAUACAAACUAAUAUCACAUGACUAUUACAAUAUUUAGUAAGCAUAACGCCACUUGUAUGACACAAUGGAUUUGUAAGUUUUGUACUAGCUCAAAAUUUUGUACUACAUGGUAACCAACAUGUUAUAGAAUGCAACACUUGUUAAGUAUUUUCUUUUUCUUCACAAUUUGAAAAGUAACCAACAUAUUAUAGAAUGCAACACUUGUAAGUAUUCACUUUAGGUUAAUUAAUUUGCACAAUUUUUUCUUCCUUCGUAAGUAAGUAAUUUUUUUAUUUUUUAUUUUUUAUUUUUAUAUAAUACAAUCUGUUUGGAUAACUAAGAGCAAAAAGAGAGGAGGGAAAAAAUAUCAGUAGAAUUGAUUUGUGGAUGUGGAUGGUUUUGAAGAGAAAGGUGAACCGUUGAUUUGUUUUCAUCACUCUACAAGUCUUAUGGUAGAGAAGUCAGAAGUUUUGUCAAAUUUAGUUAAAACUAGCAUAUUGGUAUAAUAAUGAAGUUGUUAAUAUGGAUUAAAAUGGGUACAAUUUAUUUGUUGGUCCAGUCUGUCUUUUAUUUCUUUGACAAAAAUAUCAUGUCUACCUACCAGUAUUGGUCUAUAUGUAUAUAGACGUGAGUAGUAGAGUGAGAAGAAAAAUCAAAAAAAUUAAUAAUGAUAAUACUGAUAAUGAUUUAUUUCUUAUAGUGUGUUUCAAGUCUUCCCACUUACUCCUUUUAGCCUUCAUCUUUUAGCCGAAAAGGGAAUAAGAUUUUGAACCAAUCCACACAAUUUACUAAGGGUCAUCAUCCUCCGUCACUUGAACAUCAGUUAUUGGGAAUCAUGUAUUUUGAAUCCAAAUUCUAAACAAAUGUGAAGCUAAAUUUGAAAAUUACAUAAUAAGAUACAAGUAAUACUAUUAAGAAGAGAAUAUUUUUAUGUGCUCUCCAUUUAUUAAUAUCAUUGAAAUUGAAACAGUUUAUAAAAUACUCAAAAAAAAGAAAAAAAGAAAAAAAGAAAAAACAGUGAGUUUUUGAUUACCUCCAACUACAUGCAUGGAAUAUGUGUCAAACAUAGAAAACACUCUGGAUAGAUUUUUUUAAUUUUUUCCCUUGAGUAGGGAAAUAUAUCAUUUUGCAAAUAUUUAGUUACAUGAAUCCCCAAAUUCAUUUAUAGGUUGUAGUAAAUUGAGCACAAUUAAGUAAGGAGUUGCUUCUUCAAAUUAUUGAGCUUAAUGUCAUGCCAUCCCAUGCCAUGCCAUGAAAUCAAAUAAGAUUGGGAUUGUUCCACUAAAGUAGGUAAGGGUUUAAGAUGAUAUAGCACAUUUAUUGAACUUAAUUUCAUCUAACAAUUUAUUAAUGGAAAACUUUAAUUUGUAGGAGUAAUAAGAAGUUAAGCAAGGUUAGAAUUGCCUACAUUGAGUUAUAUGUUGAGCCAGCCUAACAUAUACCAUCUUUUUAAGGUCCCUAAUAUAUAUUGAGUUGUUGAUAUGUCUUUCAAUUUAUAAUUCAUAUUCACUAACUUACAUUUUAAUAAAUGCCAGAAUGACCCAUCCGUUAAUUUUCCUUUUCAGAUUAAGAAGAAGCCUUAUUUUUCUCUCUCAAAUGGCUGACUACUAGAUCAAGUGGACCUGGUUUCAUUCACUGCUAUUUUGUGAUAAUACACAAUCGAAUAAAUGAAGGCGUGAGCACGCUGGUGGUGUAAUACAAAUUCUUUGUCACGUUGAUUGAAUUUAAUUAAUAAGAUAAGAUUUGACUUUUAUGAAUUAAAAGCUAACCCUUCAACACCCAACUAUAUUAUGACCUUGAUAAAUAUAUAUUAUAUAUUAUAUGUUAAACCCUUUAAUGGCUUUUCACAGUCUCUCUCACUCUUUCAGCUAGCCUAUAAAUAGAGAUGAGUAACUGAUUAGCUUUCUCAUCCUUCUCCAGUUUGAAAAAGUAUACGAAAAUGGCUUCUAAGGCAUUUCUUUUGCUUGGUCUUGCAUUUGCUAAUCUUCUUCUCAUCACUUCAGAGGUGGCAGCUAGAGACUUGGCUGAAACUACCACUGAGAGAAAGAGUGAGUUUAGGCUCUACAUUGAUCACACACACUGACACACAUAUCACAUAAUUUUUAUUUUAAUUUGCACAUGAAAAAUAAAUGAUUCUUGAAGGGAGAGACUGCAGCGAAAUAAUGUUGGUUAGUUACAAUUCUUCUAUUGGUUCAUUGUGAUCAUUGUUGAUGCAAAAUUGGUGAUUUAAAAUUGGAAUUAAAAGAAGAUUAGUUUAAAAUUUGUACUAAUUUUUUUUUUUUAAUUUAGACAUAAUGUUCUUUGUUGUGAAUAGAGUAUAUAUUAAUACCCCAAACUCACAUCAAUUCCUUUCCACCUGGGUAGUCUGGUCCUUUGCUUUUCCUUUGCCUGCUCCCUUUUCCAGAUUCUAGUUUUUCUGAGUUCUUAGAUUUUCUGUUCAUGAGGCUAUUUUUUUGGUUGCAACUCUUUCUCUGAUGAGGAAGUUGAAAGUCCUGAGGAGGGUCCUGCUAUUCGCAUGUACAAGGACACGCGUUUUAGGGAAGAAACUGGAUGGGUAAACGAGAUAGCUAAGCAGAACUACUGUCAGUAUUGAAAUGAAAACAAAAUACUGCAAAUGAGGAAAAUAAGCAGGAAAUAUCAGUACAGUGAAGAAAUGCAAAAAAUCAGAAGAAAAGUGAAGAAAAGAAAGAAAUGAAAGAGAAGUUUUCACAAGUUUCUCACAAUUCUGAUGGUACCAAUCCUAUCAUAAAUGAUGUUGAGAUAGUGAAAAACCAAUUAGGUAUCAGAAAGGGAUAUCGUCGUGAGUUCGGAAAUGGUUUUGUAGCUCCAAGCCAUCAACGUGCAUCCUCAUCUUUUGAAGAGGCUUCUAUAAAAAGGGUGAAAAAUGUUGAAGAAAAAAAUGCACAACUUACGGAGAAAGUUACAAGUUUGGAGGAGAAGUUGGAUACAAUUCAGAAGCUACUUGAGCAACAACGGCACCUCCUUGAGCAGCAACAACAGCAACAACAACAACUCCUUGAGCAGUAACAACAGCAGCAACAGCCGCCACCACCACGGUUCCACUAAAAUCGACAUUCUCCAUCACAUUCCCAACAGCAGCAUGCCCCGCCAAGCUGGUAUUAGUAGCCGCCAACAAUCACCUGGAUGAACUAUAAAGAUAAUUAUUUUGGUAGAUAUAUUUUGGAGCUUUUUGAUAGCUAGCUAGCUGAUUUCUAACUAUUUUGGUACGUGUAUUUUUUGGCCUGCAUUUUCAUGAUUGCAUUCAGUUUAAAAUGAUGUUUUAAUUUUUGAGGAUGUUUGGAACCAUUUGAUGUUAAAGUAGCUAGUACAUACUUUUAGUUCUUGUUUACAAAACUGGAAAAUUUGUAGUUUCAUUAUGAGAUUAAGAGCUCGUUUGUUGGCA